rnacentral:sRNA from 1 species
AGACUCUUUGUCUCGAUUAUGUAAUGUUAUAUGUAGGAGUGUCAAAAUGAGUAACCCAACUCAACUCAACUCAUUCUUUCAAAUGAGUUUAUGGGUUUCCCAACUCAUUUAAAUAAUAAUUUAAUUAAUAAUUAAUAUAAAAUAAUAAUCAAUAAUUUUCAUCAAGAUUAUCAUCAAAAUUGAGAAAUUUAUGAAAUCACAAUUUUUGAUUGGAAAAUUAUAGUUUUGCGUUUUUUAUGGCAAAACUACGAAUUUACAUUUUGGAAGGAAUACAUGUUUUGGCGGAAAAAUGCGGAUUAACAUUUAUGGCGGAAAACUCUACCAUCCGUCCACCAUUGAAUUCUAUUUCUAAAAAUCACAUAAGUCCUUCACUGAGGUUU